rnacentral:rRNA from 1 species
UACGGGCAGACUAGAGUGCGGUAGGGGAGAUUGGAAUUCCUGGUGUAGCGGUGGAAUGCGCAGAUAUCAGGAGGAACACCGAUGGCGAAGGCAGAUCUCUGGGCCGUAACUGACGCUGAGGAGCGAAAGGGUGGGGAGCAAACAGGCUUAGAUACCCUGGUAGUCCACCCCGUAAACGUUGGGAACUAGUUGUGGGGUCCAUUCCACGGAUUCCGUGACGCAGCUAACGCAUUAAGUUCCCCGCCUGGGGAGUACGGCCGCAAGGCUAAAACUCAAAGGAAUUGACGGGGACCCGCACAAGCGGCGGAGCAUGCGGAUUAAUUCGAUGCAACGCGAAGAACCUUACCAAGGCUUGACAUAUACGAGAACGGGCCAGAAAUGGUCAACUCUUUGGACACUCGUAAACAGGUGGUGCAUGGUUGUCGUCAGCUCGUGUCGUGAGAUGUUGGGUUAAGUCCCGCAACGAGCGCAACCCUCGUUCUAUGUUGCCAGCACGUAAUGGUGGGAACUCAUGGGAUACUGCCGGGGUCAACUCGGAGGAAGGUGGGGAUGACGUCAAAUCAUCAUGCCCCUUAUGUCUUGGGCUUCACGCAUGCUACAAUGGCCGGUACAAAGGGCUGCAAUACCGCGAGGUGGAGCGAAUCCCAAAAAGCCGGUCCCAGUUCGGAUUGAGGUCUGCAACUCGACCUCAUGAAGUCGGAGUCGCUAGUAAUCGCAGAUCAGCAACGCUGCGGUGAAUACGUUCCCGGGUCUUGUACACACCGCCCGUCAAGUCAUGAAAGUCGGUAACACCUGAAGCC